AAUGAACGCUGGCGGCAGGCCUAACACAUGCAAGUCGAGCGGAUGAAGGGAGCUUGCUCCUGGAUUCAGCGGCGGACGGGUGAGUAAUGCCCAGGAAUCUGCCUUGUAGUGGGGGAUAACGUCCGGAAACGGGCGCUAAUACCGCAUACGUCCAGAGGUAGAAAGGGGGGGAUCUUCGGAGCUCACGCUUCCAGAUGAGCCUAGGUGGGAUUAGCUAGUUGGAGGGGUAAAUGCGUACCAAGGCGACGAUCCGUAACUGGUCUGAGAGGGUGAUCAGCCACACUGGAACUGAGACACGGUCCAGACUCCUACGGGAGGCAGCAGUGGGGAAUAUUGGGCAAUGGGCGAAAGCCUGAUCCAGCCAUGCCGCGUGUGUGAUGAAGGUCUUCGGAUUGUAAAGCUCUGUAAGUAGGGAGGAAGGGCAGUGAGUUUAUCCCUGGCUAUUUUGACGUUACCAACAGAAUAAGCACCGGCUAACUUCGUG
rnacentral:rRNA from 1 species